rnacentral:sRNA from 1 species
CAUUACCGAAUUGUCAAACGGGUUGUUGCUGGUCUUCAAACGGGGACAUGUGCACGCUCUGUUUACACAUCCACUCACACCUGUGCACCCUCCGUAGUUCUAUGGUCUGGGGGACCCUGUCUUCCUGCCAUGGUUCUACGUCUUUACACACACUCUGUAAUAAAGUCUUAUGGAAUGUAUGCCGCGUCUAACGCAAUACAAUACAACUUUCAGCAACGGAUCUCUUGGCUCUCGCAUCGAUGAAGAACGCAGCGAAAUGCGAUAAGUAAUGUGAAUUGCAGAAUUCAGUGAAUCAUCGAAUCUUUGAACGCACCUUGCGCCCCUUGGCUAUUCCGAGGGGCAUGCCUGUUUGAGUAUCAUGAACACCUCAACUCUCAUGGUUCGCCAUGAUGAGCUUGGACUCUGGGGGUUUUGCUGGCCCGCGGUCGGCUCCCCUCAAAUGAAUCAGCCUCCCAGUGUUUGGUGGCAUCAYGGGUGUGAUAAAUAUCUACGCUCGCGGUYGUCUGCCAGGUAACCUUUGGUGACAAAGGUUUGCUGGAGCUCACAGAUGUCUCUCCUCGGUGAGGACAGCUUUUUUGAACGUUCGAUCUCAAAUCAGGUAGGACUACCCGCUGAACUUAAGCAUAU